rnacentral:sRNA from 1 species
GGCUUGACCCGAUUGGAGUGAAUAGCCCGAUUUUUUCAUCGGAAAAAAACGAAAAGCGGGGAAAAAA